rnacentral:rRNA from 1 species
UACGUAGGGGGCGAGCGUUGUCCGGAUUUAUUGGGCGUAAAGAGCUCGUAGGCGGCUUGGCAAGUCGGGUGUGAAACCUCCAGGCUCAACCUGGAGACGCCACUCGAUACUGCCAUGGCUAGAGUCCGGUAGGGGAUCACGGAAUUCCUGGUGUAGCGGUGAAAUGCGCAGAUAUCAGGAGGAACACCGGUGGCGAAGGCGACUUCCUGGCCUGUUCUUGACGCUGAGGCGCGAAAGCUAGGGUAGCAAACGGG